rnacentral:rRNA from 1 species
UGCCAGCAGCCGCGGUAAUACGAAGGUCCCAAGCGCUGUUCGGAAUCACUGGGCGUAAAGCGUGCGUAGGCGGCGUGGUAAGUCAGAUGUGAAAUCUCUGGGCUCAACCCGGAAACUGCAUCCGAUACUGCCAUGCUAGAGUAAUGGAGGGGUAGCUGGAAUUCUCGGUGUAGCAGUGAAAUGCGUAGAUAUCGAGAGGAACACUCGUGGCGAAGGCGAGCUACUGGACAUUUACUGACGCUGAGGCACGAAGGCCAGGGUAGCGAAAGGGAUUAGAUA